GCUGAGAUUAAGUCUCAGCCACUUAAACUCCUAAAAAUAACUGUUGUGGUGGCAGUUCCGGGCAGUUGUGUACUCUCCCAUGGUUUGCGGCCCAUUUUCUCCACUAGGCACGGUUGCUAUAAAAUUGGGACGUGGGUAGAAAGCAGUUGCCGAUGGGUAGAAACCAGUUGCCGAGCAGCCUUAUAUAAUGUAAACCCUUGAAUCAAAAACGCCGUACCUUCAAUCGUUUGAUUUAUGGGUAAAUAUUGAUUUGAAGUUUUGAAGGAUGAUGAAGAAGAAUCCUUAGGCACGAAAAGAACAUGUGACAACAUUGGGAGGUGUUUUGUAAGCAUUAAGUAUUCAUAUAAAGAUGGUGAAUCUGAAAAUUUUGAUUGCUGUAGUGAUGUUUCUAAUAAUAAUCUUUGUGGUAACUGGUAAGAUGCCCUUUGAUGGCCCUUUCACGAGCUUCCCAAUCGAAAGGUAUAUCCCACACUAUACCAUAUGAAAGUUUGUACCUUUCAAUCCUUAGUUCAUCGGUAUUGAUCAUGUUUAAACUAAAAUGGGGGAUAAUAUGUUUCUUUUUGUUUCUGUCACUUAUGAAUACAGCACACAGAACGGGCUAAGGCUACAAGGACUCAUGUUUUAAGUAGUAAAUUUUGAGAAGCACUUUGAAAUCAGCCAAAGUUAAUUCAUUUGUUUAAACUUUUGAAGUUAUGUUGGAUGUGUUGUGUUAUUUUGAUUGAAAGGUGUAAGUAUGCUAUUCUAUCUGCUGUUUCUUUUUGUGUUUGAAUCUCGUAUUUGGAUUUUGAGGUUAAUUUUUUAUAACAUAAUUAAAAAUUGAUUGAUUUAACAGAUACAGUUUAGUGGUCAUUUUUUGUAGAAAAAUCCACUUAGAUUUAUCCACAGAGUUGCUUUCAUGGUUCUGAAUCCGGGUUCAUUACGAGUAUUAGAAUUACGUCUACUGUUUACGGUAAUUGUUCUAAAUUAAUGUGAGAUUAGUUUGCAUGUGUUUUCUUGGAAACCUAGGGUUAUAGUUAUCGGAACCUUCCCUUUAUAUGUUUUAUAAAUUGUUAUGAUUCAAGAUGCGAACUUCUUUAAUAGAUUAUCUUUUGGAAUUAUGAUAGUUUUAUGACUAAACUUGCAGGGCUCUUUUUUUAAAUGCUAAGUGCAUGUAUUCGGUAGUUGAUGGUUAUUCUGUUUACAUCAAGGGUCUCCCAAUGAAUGCUACACCUGCUUUCUUGGAGAAAGAGUUCAAGAAAUUUGGUCCUAUUACGCCAAAUGGCAUUCAAGUUCGAAACAACAUGGUACAUAUCCAUUUUAUUUUUUUCUAAGCGUUUGAACCGUUUUUUUUUUUUUUUUUUGUAACUUUGCAGGGAUUUUGUUUUCGCUUUGUUGAAUUUGAGGUGCCUGAUGCAGUUCAAAAGGCGAUUCAGGCGUCGCCAGUCGCGAUCAAUGGAUGCAAUGCUGUUGUUGAGGAAACACGCUCGACAAACACAUAUGCAAUUAGAUUACAUGUGGCAAAUGGAUUGGUUAAUGGGUUGAAAUAUUGAGUAACUUGGAUCAUAGUAGAUAAAAGCAUUGAGAACAUAUUAUUAAAGCAUAUAGGUAUAAUUUUCUUGAAACAGUAGCGCGUGGGAGAUUUCCUAUUUGAAGGGGCGGUGGAUUCAGAAAUGAAGGAAUGAGGGGUCGUGGAAACUUCACCGGCGGUAGAGUGUGCAAACGUGAUUUUGGGGGCAACAGGUGUGGUGGUCGUGGUGGUGAUGGAUAUCAAGGGAAACCAGGGAAUGGGUGUUAAUAAGAAUAUGGCAUCACGGGUUCCUGCCAAUGCUCGAGUGAUGGGGGGGGUUUAAUGACUUUGAUUUACUCUUAUUGGCUUAGUUAGGAUUUUUUUUGGCUAUUUGUCCGGUGUGCAGUUUUUUUAGCGUCAUGUCAUAUUGGGUGCAACACCUAUGGCUGCAUUCCAAAUAUGCUUGCAGGUGUGGCUGACAUCAUCACUUCUUGCUGAUGGGUUGGUAGUUGCUGAACAGGUAGAUGUUGUUUGUUUUGUGUUAUGGUUCAAGUGGCAAACGAUCUACCAGAACCGAAUGGUGUCCAGGAACCUUUAGACCCGCGUAGGACUUGAACGAAGCCUCUAUCAUUAAUCGGUUUCACUUUUUUGUUAAUCUGUUCUGCUCAAGAUUUUGAAGCGUUCAUCAUGAGUUCGUAAUUUCCGCCAUAGGAGAAAAAUUGCUUGCGAAACACAUCUUAAAGGAAUAUCAUCUGUUGUAUCUCAAAGUCAAGAAUCUUUGUUAAUGGUAGCUGGGUAGGGGAUCCACUGCAGAGCUCUUGCCUAUUGGCCUCGCCUAAAUCCCAAAUAUAUUUAGGCAGGUUGAUGCAUUUGGAAAAGACUCAUUUGGGGAAGCAGAGAAAAGAUCUCAAGGAAGUCAACACUCAAGUAGUGGAUCAAAUAGGGUCUGCUCCUUUAUUGUAUAUGGAAAAAUGGACGGGAUGACCCAUUUUGGUAAAGGGUUGAGGCCAAAAUGAUUACUUUUACAUACUCAAUGUUGAAAUUGUCAACAGCCCGUUUAAAGACUCAAUGUUGAAGUUGACUCCAACGUUUCUUUUUCAAGUUUUUAAGCAUAUUAUAAGUAUAAAUGUGAACUCAUUUGAUGAGUUCAUAUCCACACAUUUUAGAUCUUUUUAAAUAAAUAUUUUUUUUCUUUGUAAAUAAGAAAAACUUAUGUCAUUCCAACGCUAAAAAAAAUCCGUCCACCGGACGGGUAUACCACUAGUAAUACAUAGGAUCGGGACAGUAAAACCCACUUUUUUUAAAUAAAGAACUGGGAGCUUGGAGUAAAGGUUAAUGAGUUGAUAAAUUUUGGGUAAUGAGCUUGCAGGUGGGCUUAAUUCUUAAAAGAUUGGUUAGUAAUGGUCCAAUAGACUAAUAGGUUUAGAAGGUUGAUAUUUGUUAAUAUAUUAAUAAGCUAUUGUUUUACUUUUGUUAAUAUAUAUUUUUUAUAUCUGUAAAAACAUAAAAUAAAAAAAGUUAGAUUAUUCUUUUUAAGUUAUGUCAAAAAUUUUCAUGGGUGUCAUUUGAAUUUUGAUUUCACAAAAGAUCAUGGAUGUAGGGUUCCACGCAUACACCUUUUUAGGUCUGCCCCUCUGUUUCUAAGAUCAUUAGCUAAUAGUUUCAUGUUUACGUGUUGAUCUUUAUCUUGAAUAUUUGAAUUUGUGACUUAAAAGGCAAACCUUCUGAAGCAAAUCACAACAUGGGUAUAGAUUUAUUUGUCAAGAAUCUUUAGGGACCGAUCAAUUCAUUUCAAACUUAGAUUGCAAAAUUAAUGACUCAGAAUGUGUUGUAAUAGUAAAACGCAACAAGUAAAUAUUUGUGUUCAUAGAUUCAUUCACGUUGUUACUAUAUAAUAAAUCAACAAAACCCGUCCAACGGACGGGUAUUAAACUAGUUAAAGUAUUGUGUUUUCUAAGAAUUAUGAUCUUUAGAUAUUACACUUAUUCUAGAAUCUAUAUCUAUAUAUAUAAUAAACAAAACCAUUGAGGGACACUUGUCACCCUAUGGUUUAAGACAACUCAGCUGCACAUGUGGCAGUACAUGUGGCAUAGGUAGAAUUGAAAGAUUGGGCAAGCUUCUCUCAUACGAUUCGUUACUCUCUCUUUCUCUUUCCAAUUAAACCAUAAUAAUCAAAAAUCGUCUGUGUCUCUCUCUCUCUCAAUACCAUCGGCGAUAAUCUUCAAUCGGAUCUUUCAUUCAUCAUUCAACGGAUUUCAAGACUCUAAACUCGACGGUAAUCGUAUUUUGUUGUUUGAUUCUAUUAUUUUGUAGUUCGAUUUGUCUGUUUUCGUUUACACUUUAAUGAUAGUUAGGUUUUUAGUCGAACCUUCAAUCGGAUCUUUCGUUCUUCAUUCAACGGAUUUCAAGACUCUAAACUCGACGAGAUGGUGUACGGAUUCGCAGCCCGUGUGUGGAAGAACGACAAAAAAUCGCUGAAACUUACUGCUGAUUUUGUUAAAUGGAUUACAAUUGAAUGCUUCACAGUUGAGCUGGUGAAGUUUCAUCAUAUCCUGGUUCUAUUUCAUCGAAAUGGAUGAAAAUAAUGUGAGUAUGUUAAACAAUCUUGAUUGGAGAUCAAAGUUGUUUACCAUAAAGGUCAAAGUUUUAAGACUCUGGAUGCGUGUGAAUCCAAAGAGAGAAGGCGAAGUACUUGCUAUUGAAAUGGUGUUGAUGGAUGAGCAGGGGACGAAGAUCCAGGCUACUGUUUGGAAUAAGUUUAUGAAAAAACAUGAAAUUUUGCUUAAAGAAAAUGAGUCUUAUUAUAUUUAUAAAUCUCAACUUUCUGUGAUUAAGUCUAAUUUCAAACACUUUGGCAAGCAACAUGCUAUUAGCUUAAACUUUGAUACAUCUGUUAAAAAGUGUGAGGACUUUGAUGGAAGUGCGCACGGUAUCUGUUUAGCAUCAUUCCAGUCCAUUAAAGCCGGUGAAGUGGAUGUCAACUAUCGAGUUGGUUUGUACUUCAUCAUAUAUAACAACCACAUCGGCAUUUCUGAAAAUAUGAACAUAUUUUUUUAAAAUUAUGGAUUUUGUGUUGAGUAUAUUUGGGUUUGAUCAAUUUCUGUCUUUUACGGAUUUUAUUGGAUAUGUAGAUGAAUGGUCUGAACCAGAGGCGACGAAAACAAAGAUGGGAAAAGAUAGCAAAUAUAUGAACUUGCAAUUGUUGGAUGAAGAGUUUAUUUAUUGAUUUACCUAAUUUUUGUUCAUUCGAAGUUUAGUAUUAUAUAUUUAUUCUUUUAUGAUAUCCUUUGAUUUUUUAAAUUUCUAUUCAUGUAGGGGUAUUAAAUUAAACUGCACCUUAUGGGACGAGUACUAUGAUGAGAUGUUUGACUACAUUCAGAGCCAUAAACAGGAAGUCCAUGUUGUUCUUCUUGUGCAGUUUGGUAGUUUCAACAAGUAUAAAGGGAAGACAACACUCUCUAAUGCUUUCCAUAUAACAAGAUUGUUUAUCAAUGCGGACAUAGAGGAGAUUCGGUCAUU